CCUAUUUACAAAAAUUUUCCUUUCAUCGUUUCUUCUUUCUCUCCUACCGUUCUAUACAAAGCCACAGAAAGGGAGAGCAAACCCAGUAUCAAACUCUGUUCUUAGUUUGUAGAUUAAGAAGAAAAAGUGGAAGUUAUGAAAUUGCUUCAAUUCCUUUUAAUUUAAGACAAUUUGCCGUAAUUCUAAAAGCCAAAAACACCCACAUUAAAGGAGAGUUAUUGUUGAAGAGGGAGACUAUCCCGAUGAGAGAGAAUGCUUAGAUUGUAGGUACCAAGUUCAAAAUUGAAAAAAAUUGCUUCAAAUCAAGAUUGAAAGAGAGCAAGAAAUUGAAGCAAAGAUCAAGGAGAUACUACAAUGUAAAUUUUUCUUUUAUUUUAUGAAUCUCAAUUGGUUGGUUAUGGUGGCUCAAGUCUAGGUGUCUCUAAAUUUGUUAGUGUCUCUAUUUUUAAUUUUUUCUUGAGCAAGAGGAGUAAAAUGAAAUUUUUCACUUUUGAAAAAUGUAAAUUUAUUUUUGAAAGUGUUUUUACUGAAAAAUUUAUCAAAUUAGCUUUCCAAUGGUUUAAACAGAUCAAAAAUCCGAGUUCAAGUCAAAAAGUUAUGAGUUUGUGAAUCUCUAAACUUUUUAGUGUCUCUAUUUUUAACUUUUCUUGUCCAAGGAGAAGUAAAGUGAAAUUUUCACUUUUGGGAAAUACAAAUUUGUUUUUGAAAGAGUUUUAUUGAAAAAAUUAUCAAAUUAGCUUUCCAACAGUUCAAACGAAUAGAAAAUCCGAGUUCGAGUUAAAAAGUUAUGAGUUUUGAAGCCUAAGUGCCAUUUUAUCCAGAGAGCACUUCGGGAGCCGAAAGUGGAAACUUUGGCAGCCGAAAGUGGAAACUUUGGCAGCCAAAAGUAGGAACUUUGACAGCCAAAAGUAGGAACUUCGGUAGCCGAAGUUUACUCCUUAAAUGAUGGUUUUUGUGUGUUUAAACCCUUUUUAUCCAGAGAGCACUUUGGCAGCCGAAGUUCACUUUUUGAAUGGUAUUUUUUGGCACUCCAACCUUCGACAGCAGAAGUAAAGAACUUCGAUAGCUGAACUUGGGUUUCUGAAACUCAAUAAAAUAGAGUUUUGGGUAAUUGAACAGCUAUAUUUGCAUUUAAUGCACCCCCAAUGGUCAUUUCCUUGCUAAAACUAUAAAUAGAGGCUAUUUAUGACAGGAGGAAGUGACCACAACUAUUUCUUUGAGAAUUUAUUGUGUUAAAAUGAUUUUUCCCUCUUUUCCCUCUCUAGAACUUGAGCUACCAUAAUUUAUUAUUGAGAGCUUGAUAUUUUGUGCUGUAAUUUCUUUGUUCUGAGAGUUUGUUCAAGGUUGUUGUGAACUUUUAUUGUAACUUGAGUGUGAUAGAAAUUGCUCUUGAGUGUAAAAGAAUUUGUAAAAGAGCGAGGGUUUACUCUUGUAGUGAUUGUAAGCGGUUUAUUUUUCAUCCAAAG
rnacentral:misc_RNA from 1 species